rnacentral:rRNA from 1 species
UGGGGAAUUUUGGACAAUGGGGGAAACCCUGAUCCAGCCAUCCCGCGUGUGCGAUGAAGGCCUUCGGGUUGUAAAGCACUUUUGUCCGGAAAGAAAUCCUUGGCUCUAAUACAGUCGGGGGAUGACGGUACCGGAAGAAUAAGCACCGGCUAACUACGUGCCAGCAGCCGCGGUAAUACGUAGGGUGCAAGCGUUAAUCGGAAUUACUGGGCGUAAAGCGUGCGCAGGCGGUUUGCUAAGACCGAUGUGAAAUCCCCGGGCUCAACCUGGGAACUGCAUUGGUGACUGGCAGGCUAGAGUAUGGCAGAGGGGGGUAGAAUUCCACGUGUAGCAGUGAAAUGCGUAGAGAUGUGGAGGAAUACCGAUGGCGAAGGCAGCCCCCUGGGCCAAUACUGACGCUCAUGCACGAAAGCGUGGGGAGCAAACAGGAUUAGAUACCCUGGUAGUCCACGCCCUAAACGAUGUCAACUAGUUGUUGGGGAUUCAUUUCCUUAGUAACGUAGCUAACGCGUGAAGUUGACCGCCUGGGGAGUACGGUCGCAAGAUUAAAACUCAAAUGAAUUGACGGGGUCAUAGCUGUUUCCU